UUAAGCGACUAAGCGUACACGGUGGAUGCCCUGGCAGUCAGAGGCGAUGAAGGACGUGCUAAUCUGCGAUAAGCGUCGGUAAGGUGAUAUGAACCGUUAUAACCGGCGAUUUCCGAAUGGGGAAACCCAGUGUGAUUCGUCACACUAUCAUUAACUGAAUCCAUAGGUUAAUGAGGCGAACCGGGGGAACUGAAACAUCUAAGUACCCCGAGGAAAAGAAAUCAACCGAGAUUCCCCCAGUAGCGGCGAGCGAACGGGGAGCAGCCCAGAGCCUGAAUCAGUGUGUGUGUUAGUGGAAGCGUCUGGAAAGGCGUGCGAUACAGGGUGACAGCCCCGUACACAAAAAUGCACAUACUGUGAGCUCGAUGAGUAGGGCGGGACACGUGGUAUCCUGUCUGAAUAUGGGGGGACCAUCCUCCAAGGCUAAAUACUCCUGACUGACCGAUAGUGAACCAGUACCGUGAGGGAAAGGCGAAAAGAACCCCGGCGAGGGGAGUGAAAAAGAACCUGAAACCGUGUACGUACAAGCAGUGGGAGCACGCUUAGGCGUGUGACUGCGUACCUUUUGUAUAAUGGGUCAGCGACUUAUAUUCUGUAGCAAGGUUAACCGAAUAGGGGAGCCGAAGGGAAACCGAGUCUUAACUGGGCGUUAAGUUGCAGGGUAUAGACCCGAAACCCGGUGAUCUAGCCAUGGGCAGGUUGAAGGUUGGGUAACACUAACUGGAGGACCGAACCGACUAAUGUUGAAAAAUUAGCGGAUGACUUGUGGCUGGGGGUGAAAGGCCAAUCAAACCGGGAGAUAGCUGGUUCUCCCCGAAAGCUAUUUAGGUAGCGCCUCGUGAAUUCAUCUCCGGGGGUAGAGCACUGUUUCGGCAAGGGGGUCAUCCCGACUUACCAACCCGAUGCAAACUGCGAAUACCGGAGAAUGUUAUCACGGGAGACACACGGCGGGUGCUAACGUCCGUCGUGAAGAGGGAAACAACCCAGACCGCCAGCUAAGGUCCCAAAGUCAUGGUUAAGUGGGAAACGAUGUGGGAAGGCCCAGACAGCCAGGAUGUUGGCUUAGAAGCAGCCAUCAUUUAAAGAAAGCGUAAUAGCUCACUGGUCGAGUCGGCCUGCGCGGAAGAUGUAACGGGGCUAAACCAUGCACCGAAGCUGCGGCAGCGACGCUUAUGCGUUGUUGGGUAGGGGAGCGUUCUGUAAGCCUGUGAAGGUGUACUGUGAGGUAUGCUGGAGGUAUCAGAAGUGCGAAUGCUGACAUAAGUAACGAUAAAGCGGGUGAAAAGCCCGCUCGCCGGAAGACCAAGGGUUCCUGUCCAACGUUAAUCGGGGCAGGGUGAGUCGACCCCUAAGGCGAGGCCGAAAGGCGUAGUCGAUGGGAAACAGGUUAAUAUUCCUGUACUUGGUGUUACUGCGAAGGGGGGACGGAGAAGGCUAUGUUGACCGGGCGACGGUUGUCCCGGUUUAAGCGUGUAGGCUGGUUUUCCAGGCAAAUCCGGAAAAUCAAGGCCGAGGCGUGAUGACGAGGCACUACGGUGCUGAAGCAACAAAUGCCCUGCUUCCAGGAAAAGCCUCUAAGCAUCAGGUAACAUCAAAUCGUACCCCAAACCGACACAGGUGGUCAGGUAGAGAAUACCAAGGCGCUUGAGAGAACUCGGGUGAAGGAACUAGGCAAAAUGGUGCCGUAACUUCGGGAGAAGGCACGCUGAUACGUAGGUGAAGCGACUUGCUCGUGGAGCUGAAAUCAGUCGAAGAUACCAGCUGGCUGCAACUGUUUAUUAAAAACACAGCACUGUGCAAACACGAAAGUGGACGUAUACAGUGUGACGCCUGCCCGGUGCCGGAAGGUUAAUUGAUGGGGUUAGCGCAAGCGAAGCUCUUGAUCGAAGCCCCGGUAAACGGCGGCCGUAACUAUAACGGUCCUAAGGUAGCGAAAUUCCUUGUCGGGUAAGUUCCGACCUGCACGAAUGGCGUAAUGAUGGCCAGGCUGUCUCCACCCGAGACUCAGUGAAAUUGAACUCGCUGUGAAGAUGCAGUGUACCCGCGGCAAGACGGAAAGACCCCGUGAACCUUUACUAUAGCUUGACACUGAACAUUGAGCCUUGAUGUGUAGGAUAGGUGGGAGGCUUUGAAGUGUGGACGCCAGUCUGCAUGGAGCCGACCUUGAAAUACCACCCUUUAAUGUUUGAUGUUCUAACGUGGACCCGUGAUCCGGGUUGCGGACAGUGUCUGGUGGGUAGUUUGACUGGGGCGGUCUCCUCCUAAAGAGUAACGGAGGAGCACGAAGGUUGGCUAAUCCUGGUCGGACAUCAGGAGGUUAGUGCAAUGGCAUAAGCCAGCUUGACUGCGAGCGUGACGGCGCGAGCAGGUGCGAAAGCAGGUCAUAGUGAUCCGGUGGUUCUGAAUGGAAGGGCCAUCGCUCAACGGAUAAAAGGUACUCCGGGGAUAACAGGCUGAUACCGCCCAAGAGUUCAUAUCGACGGCGGUGUUUGGCACCUCGAUGUCGGCUCAUCACAUCCUGGGGCUGAAGUAGGUCCCAAGGGUAUGGCUGUUCGCCAUUUAAAGUGGUACGCGAGCUGGGUUUAGAACGUCGUGAGACAGUUCGGUCCCUAUCUGCCGUGGGCGCUGGAGAACUGAGGGGGGCUGCUCCUAGUACGAGAGGACCGGAGUGGACGCAUCACUGGUGUUCGGGUUGUCAUGCCAAUGGCACUGCCCGGUAGCUAAAUGCGGAAGAGAUAAGUGCUGAAAGCAUCUAAGCACGAAACUUGCCCCGAGAUGAGUUCUCCCUGACCCUUUAAGGGUCCUGAAGGAACGUUGAAGACGACGACGUUGAUAGGCUGGGUGUGUAAGCGCAGCGAUGCGUUGAGCUAACCGGUACUAAUGAACCGUGAGGCUUAACCUU
rnacentral:rRNA from 1 species